GGGCCGUUGAGAAGAACAGAAGGUCUUCUGAUCAAAUCAGAGCAGGGUAUCCAUAGGGCUGAACCUUUGUACCAACCAUGUCAAUACAUACCUCCUAGACACUGUUUGCGGCACUGUGACCGGCGAUGCCGUCUUGGAGCACACAUCAACACAACUUUCUUCAGGGGCCAUUAAGAAGAACAGAAGGACUUCUGAUCAAAUCAGAGCAGGGUAUCCAUAGGGCUGAACCUUUGUGCCAACCAUGUCAAUACAUACCUCCUAGACACUGUUUGUGGCACUGGUAAGCAAUGGUGCUUUGUCCAAACCCCAGGCGGAGCUUUGCUCUCUCGCGAACUGGGUCAAUGAUGACAAACCAAUGUCACGAAGAGAGAUGA